AAAACUUUCAACAACGGAUCUCUUGGUUCUGGCAUCGAUGAAGAACGCAGUGAAAUGCGAUAAGUAAUGUGAAUUGCAGAAUUUAGUGAAUCAUCGAAUCUUUGAACGCACCUUGCGCCCCCCGGCAUCCCGGCGGGCAUGCCUGUUCGAGCGUCAUU
rnacentral:rRNA from 1 species